rnacentral:rRNA from 1 species
GACGAACGCUGGCGGCGUGCUUAACACAUGCAAGUCGAACGGAAAGGCCCCCUUGUGGGGUACUCGAGUGGCGAACGGGUGAGUAACACGUGAGUAACCUACCCUUGACUUUGGGAUAACUUCAGGAAACUGGGGCUAAUACCGGAUAGGAGCUCCUGCUGCAUGGUGGGGGUUGGAAAGUUUCGGCGGUUGGGGAUGGACUCGCGGCUUAUCAGCUUGUUGGUGGGGUAGUGGCUCACCAAGGCUUUGACGGGUAGCCGGCCUGAGAGGGUGACCGGCCACAUUGGGACUGAGAUACGGCCCAGACUCCUACGGGAGGCAGCAGUGGGGAAUAUUGCACAAUGGGCGGAAGCCUGAUGCAGCAACGCCGCGUGCGGGAUGACGGCCUUCGGGUUGUAAACCGCUUUCGCCUGCGACGAAGCGUGAGUGACGGUAAUGGGUAAAGAAGCACCGGCUAACUACGUG